rnacentral:lncRNA from 1 species
UGGUGUGCAAGAACCACCGUAGACAACACUUGAAUUUCUGGUCUUCGUUCAGCUUAUUCUCUCUGAUCAGGUGUAAUAAGUUGGCCGCUGUGAUGUUUUUAUUUUUUGUCACCUUAAAACAAAAAUUGUCCCCCUUUGCUAACACCUUCUUCAUUUUUGAUUCACUGGGGUAUGAUGAGCAGUUCAUCCCCGUGAUCAAA